rnacentral:rRNA from 1 species
UACGUAGGGUGCGAGCGUUAAUCGGAAUUACUGGGCGUAAAGCGUGCGCAGGCGGUUUUGUAAGCCAGAUGUGAAAGCCCCGGGCUUAACCUGGGAAUGGCAUUUGGGACUGCAAGGCUGGAGUGUGGCAGAGGAGACUGGAAUUCCGUGGUGUAGCAGUGAAAUGCGUAGAUAUCAGGAGGAACACCGAUGGCGAAGGCAGGUCUCUGGGCUGACACUGACGCUCAUGCACGAAAGCGUGGGGAGCGAAACAA